AAAGAAAAGAAAUCAUUGAACCAACGGUCGAUGAUUAAUUUGAACAGCAAUAAAGAAAACAAUGAUUAGAAGCUUAGCAACUGGUAUGACGUAAAUAUGUAACACGAAUACAAGAAACAAAAUUGUGUUCGAAAGAUAUCGGUUUCUACGAGCUCUAACUGGUUUCGCAUUAAUCGAAUACUGAUUGUAACAGGAAACCAGGAGAAAUUCUAGUUUAAAAAAAAUAUAACGCACUUAGCUUUUAAAACAACUAAGUUAAUGGAGCUCGUGGGGUAAUUGCAAAGAGAUCUAUCUGGUGAACAAUUCAUAGAAAACAAUGAACUCAAUCCCUUAAAUUUCAUUGUAUCAAGUGGAGAAAUUGGAGUGACACACUAUAGGUGAAACUUUAUCCGAUUUUCAUUACUCUUAAUAGAAACAUCCGUAAGUACUUAUUGACAAUGCGGGGAUAAUUCAGGAGCUUUACCGACUACAUGUAAGUAUUCUUUUUUUGAAUAUUAUGCAUUACUAGUACGUGUUAUUUUUUCUUUUUAGAAAUAUUACUUCGAUUAAUAUUUUCAUUAAUACAUUGGAAAGUUUUAUUGUCAAAAGGAAUCCCCUGUUUACAACGUGGCGUGGAAGCCUGCCAGAGUUUUGUGAAAGAAUCCACGCGGCGAAUUCAUGAACACAAAAAUUAAGGGUAUAAAUAGAUUUGUUUGAGUCGUAUGAAAAAGUAUAAGUUUGGUUAGUGGACUGCAUUCGAAAGAAAUCAAAAUUCAUGGACAAAUGAAAAUCUGUAUCAAGGUAGCAUUCGUACACGAUAAUUGAUUGGUACAUCGGAAACAGCGAUCCAUUUACGUCAUUGGAGUUUUCAGCAUAACAUUUCACGUGUUUGUUUAUAUUUACAUUCUUGUUUAGAAGGUUGCGCAAAAAUACGAAGAAACGCCAAUGAAAU